AACUGUUCUUAGUUGUUCUAUGUGAGAAUCAAACAGGCGGUAAACGCACAAUGCGUUCGCUGCUUUUUUUGGCUGUAGUGAAAGUUGUGUACCGAUCGGAGGUCGUGCGCACGCGUUUGUGAUUUUGUAUUUGUUUUGCUUGGUCUUAAAGCAUCUCUUCUGUUGACCUAACAAUGUUGCAGGAAAGAAGGGCCAACAGGACUACGCAACUGAAGUGGGGAUUUAUGAAGAUUGCGCAUGCGAGCCUCCUGAUAAUUCGGGAGAAAGUGAAUACAACGCCGUGGGCCUGUGCUGGGGGAAGCCCACCCAAUGGAGCUGUUUAGGCCAUUCCUGGGACCAAGAGUGAUUUCUGCUGAGCAGCACUCCUUGGAGUGCCAUUCCGCACGUGUCUUGGAAAGUAACCAUAAGCAGUGGGCGCAGAGCCUGUGUCUGGGUUGAGGUUCACCAGAGAUGCUGACGGCCGCCGAUGUUCUCGAGUGCAACGUGGACAGGUAUUGCGCACGGUAUCACAGUGAUGUGUUGUCGACCGUCAAAGACAGCUAUAUACCAGUGCUACCGGUGCCUCGAUUCGACUCUAACGAGAAGCACACCACGAGGACCACUGACCCACCACUUGUAUAACGUCAAGUGAGAAACUGUGAGACGACAUACGCAGUUUUUGGACACUAUGCACUCUCGAUGUAGUCGUUUUUACUUUCUUGCAUGACAUGUCGCACUAAACACCAUAUUGUAUUGUGUCCAUCGAGCUCUUUGCCCUUAAGUUGUAGCCGAUUAUUUUUUUUUUCGAGUCUCCCAGGUCUCCUUUAACGUCUCAUGAUACAAACAACUGACAACUGUCCCAACUAUACCACACCUGUAUUCGCACUUGGCAUACAUUUAUUUUCAGACAGCCUAUACACAUGGAAGUGAUGUCUACACAUUAAGUUAAGACAUAUGAAAGUUGAGAGGUGGGCGAAUCUCAACAUUUUCUCAUAUAAAUUCUAAAUAUUGAAUAUCAAAUAGCAAAUCACAGACACAUAUUUACAGCAGCAAUGUUUAUUGUGGUAUGUUCAUAGGUAUGAUGCAUGUACUGACAAGUCCAAAAGAAGGAGCCAACUAUAUCAGGUAGAAAGGACCAGUUUUAAAUAGAAAAACACUAAUUCGCAAGUAAAACCUAUACUUAUAUUUGCUUAGCCACUUUAGAGUGACUGCAAACGAGCUCUUCAGGAAUUCUGAGCUGCUGUGUGACUAGCUUUCCGAAGAAUGUAAAAUAAAUAGUUGCUGAAAUAAAGAAAGAUCAACAGCUUUCUUUUCUUUCUUCUGCAACACGUGCACUGUAGACACUUGUAAAGGUGUCAUUUGCAGGGAAUACAUCACAGGUUCUGGCGUAAAAAAUUAAACUCUGUGACUAUACAUCCAAACGCACUAAAUGACAGAAUGCAAGCAAAAUUCGCAGAUGGCCAUGUAUGCUUAUGCUGCAAAACCUAGAACCAAACUUGAACUCCUCAUUUUGCUUCUGCGAUGCUUCAAAAACUCUUGCCAUUUCAGUUCUCACAAUUUGCUAUACUUUCUUUAGCAGGCAGUGAAUAGUAAAUAUAAACAGAACAGUAAGUAUAAAUUAACAAUCGCUUAAUUGCUGCUACAUAUAUUGCACGUCUUAAAUAUUACAAAGUACUGAAUAGCUUUUCUUAUAAGUAUCCCCCUCCCACUGAAUGGAAGUGAUCAACGAAAAAACUUUUGAACAUCAACAUACUUGCAAGGCUUGCCAAUCUGCACAAGCUUAGGUAGUACCCUUUUUAAGUAGACAUACUGCAGUCUGUCUACAAGUGCCUGCAUAUGCUCGGUGUCUCUCGCCACAUGAAUGGCUAGGCUCUCUACUUUUAAAUAUACUAUAAAAUGACACACCUUCAUGUUAAGGAGGAGCAUGCCCAGUUGAACCUGGGAAUACUUGUGAGCACGUCUCAGUGCAUAAUUUUCUCCAUCACACACAAUAAAUGCCAGCUUCUUAGCAUUUACGAGGUCUUGUAUGCUAGAGUGCUUGCCUUGAACAGGACACUUCACUUCCAGUAAGAUAUUUGUUCCCCUCUGCUGACUUUUCCAUCCGGGCUGUAGCCAAGCCAAGGGACAUCUGGAAUGAUGAGUCCCAGCUGGCUCACGCUUUGGUUAUGUGUCUUCUCGUACUCUUCAAGUGCAAGAGGCUCCUUAUCUUUUCCAUACAUUGUGGCUUCAUUUCCCUUGAAAGGCUCCCUGCAGUACAGCCUGUCCAGCUUUGCUUCCCAACUGCGUGUACCCCUUUCUUCAAACGUGUAAAGCACUAUGCAGACGCUUCCAGUAAUUCUUUUUUUUCCUUUCGCUGUGCCACAAAGUGGAUGACUGAUCAGUUAUCUCGCGGCAUAUAUUCCCUAGGUUUGGCAUAGCAGAGGUACACAUUUUGAAGAUAGAAACUAUUUUCAUUUCCAUUUAGAUGUUCAAGAGUAAACCUUUUCAGGACUGUUCUUUCACCAUCUAGCACCGAUUCAAAGAAUGAAAAUUUUUUGUACUGUCUCAUGUAGCAACAUUGUGUGAAAAUUGUGUCGAUGGCGUGGACUAUGUUCGAAUUGCUGGUGAAAGGGGUUAACUUUCUUGCACGAGUUGUGUGUUUUGCCAGUGCAGAAUGUGGUACUGCUUCAAUAAGUUCUUUCCUAGUCAGUGCUUGAACAUCUUCAGGGACAUUUCUUGGUUGAAGCUGCUCCACGUGGCAAAACAAACUAACUGGCUUUGGUUUGUAGAUACUGGCAGCACUGACACGUCCCCACUGUUGUUGCACAUCCUUGCAUGACAAUGAAUACAACGAAGUGGCACUUGUCCUGUACAUAAAAAUAAAGGUACCUUGCUGAGAUGCUC